CCCCACAACCCUGGCAAAUCUAUUUCCUAUCCCCAAAUUCCUCCGCUCUCCUGACCUGAACUCAUUAGAGUAGGGUGGGACCACGUCGGCUCAGGAGCGAUCUCCCGAUUACCACUAUCCCCAAGCCAUGCAUCUCUGCGGUAGGAGGUGGAAUAGAUGGCAUCUCAUCUACGCUGGCCUUGAUGAAGGGGGAGUUUUUGUCAGUGUUCCACCACUGAGGGGCCUGGUCAGUGGUGCUGGGCCUGGGUCCUGUCCAGUCUGACCUCAAUGGUGCUGGGCCUGAGAAGAGAAGCAUGGAGCUGCUCCAGAGCCCUGAGGGCUGGAGUGGCGCCCACACACAGCUCGCUGAUGAUGAGGCCUGAUAAUUACCUCCAUACUCUCUGACGCAGGACCAGGAUGGGGGAAAGAGGACAAGUAGGAAAAGAGACAGACAGCUAACAUCAACUACAGCUGGAGCACAGACAUUCAAAAAAAGACUWUAUACUCCUUUGAAUGUGAUUUAGGCUACUGUAUAAUUAAGAAUUGGGUGAAGCGAUGUACAUGAUUAAACAUGAUGUAUGUAAACAUGCUAUGUUAUUAUAUUUGUAUGUUGAUGGAGAAAAAAACAGUCGGAAAGGGAACGGGGGAUACCUAGUCAGUUGCACAACGGAAUGGAUUCAACCUGAAAUGUGUUUUGCGCAUUUAACCCAAACCCUCUGAAUCAGAGGUGCGGAGGGCGGCCUUAAACAACGUCCACAUUAUCGGUAGUAAUCAUGUACUCAACAGCUUCUUGAUUGUUCCAGAAAAGGAAUGUAUCUGUUAAUCAUUCUCACCAAAACUCAGAGACAGGUCAACGCAGUUAACAGAAACUCUAUCCUUGUUAAACACUGCCCUCCUAUGGAUGGAGAGUGGCACUGUGACACUAUUCAGAGAACGCCGUGAUGGUGAUUUUCUGGUUUCACUGGAUUUACAGGUCACCAGGGGUCUCUCUUUGGGCACAGAUAGAAUGGAAGCUAUGAAUAUGUAAUUUUCCAACUUUUGCUGACCCUUUAUCAUUGAUCUAAUGUAUAUGAUUAUGUCAUGCCAAUGAGCWUCACUUGCUCUGUGUUACAGUAAAUGUUGAUAGUCAAUAGUCAACA